GACAGAGGGUGCAAACGUUGUUCGGAAUUACUGGGCGUAAAGGGCGCGUAGGUGGUGGCUUAAGCGUGCGGUGAAAGCUCGGGGCUCAACUCCGAGUCGGCCGUGCGAACUGGGCUCACUGGAGCAUAGUAGAGGCAGGUGGAAUUCCGGGUGUAGCGGUGGAAUGCGUAGAGAUCCGGAAGAACACCGGUGGCGAAGGCGGCCUGCUGGGCUAUGGCUGACACUGAGGCGCGACAGCGUGGGGAGCAAACAGG
rnacentral:rRNA from 1 species